rnacentral:rRNA from 1 species
UUGGAGGGCAAGUCUGGUGCCAGCAGCCGCGGUAAUUCCAGCUCCAAUAGCGUAUAUUAAAGUUGUUGCAGUUAAGAAGCUCGUAGUUGAAUUUCGGGGUUCUACCGUUGGUCGGGCUAUUGUCUGUACUGGCGUGUAGAAUUUCUACCUUCUGGGGAACUAUCAUGUUAUUAAUUUAGCGUGGUAGGAAACCAGGACCUUUACCUUGAAAAAAUUAGAGUGUUCAAAGCAGGCUUAUGUCUGAAUACAUUAGCAUGGAAUAAUAAAAUAGGACGGUGGUCCUGUUUUGUUGGUUUCUGAAUCACCGUAAUGAUUAAUAGGGAUAGUUGGGGGCAUUAGUAUUCAAUUGUCAGAGGUGAAAUUCUUGGAUUUAUUGGAGACUAACUACUGCGAAAGCAUUUGCCAAGGAUGUUUUCAUUAAUCAAGAACGAAAGUUAGGGGAUCGAAGACGAUCAGAUACCGUCGUAGUCUUAACCAUAAACUAUACCGACUAGGGAUCGGACGAUGUUAACUUUUCUUGACUCGUUCGGCGCCUUACGGGAAA